UACGAAGGGGGCUAGCGUUGUUCGGAUUUACUGGGCGUAAAGCGCACGUAGGCGGACUAUUAAGUCAGGGGUGAAAUCCCGGGGCUCAACCCCGGAACUGCCUUUGAUACUGGUAGUCUUGAGUUCGAGAGAGGUGAGUGGAAUUCCGAGUGUAGAGGUGAAAUUCGUAGAUAUUCGGAGGAACACCAGUGGCGAAGGCGGCUCACUGGCUCGAUACUGACGCUGAGGUGCAAAAGCGUGGGGAGCAAACAGG
rnacentral:rRNA from 1 species